CCAACAGGGAUUGCCUCAGUAACGGCGAGUGAAGCGGCAAAAGCUCAAAUUUGAAAUCUAGCACCUUCGGUGUUCGAGUUGUAAUUUGAAGAUGGUAACCUUGGGUUUGGCUCUUGUCUAUGUUCCUUGGAACAGGACGUCAUAGAGGGUGAGAAUCCCGUCUGAUGAGAUGCCCAUUCCUAUGUAAGGUGCUAUCGAAGAGUCGAGUUGUUUGGGAAUGCAGCUCUAAGUGGGUGGUAAAUUCCAUCUAAAGCUAAAUAUUGGCGAGAGACCGAUAGCGAACAAGUACAGUGAUGGAAAGAUGAAAAGAACUUUGAAAAGAGAGUGAAAAAGUACGUGAAAUUGUUGAAAGGGAAGGGCAUUAGAUCAGACUUGGUGUUUUACGAUUAUCUUCUCUUCUUGAGCUGUGCACUCGUAUUUCACUGGGCCAGCAUCGAUUCGGAUGGCAAGAUAAUGGCAGUUGAAUGUGGCUUCACUUCGGUGGAGUGUUAUAGCUUCUGCUGAUAUUGCCUGUCUGGAUCGAGGGCUGCGUCUUUUGACUAGGAUGCUGGCGCAAUGAUCUAAUGC
rnacentral:rRNA from 1 species